rnacentral:rRNA from 1 species
AGCGAACGCUGGCGGCAGGCCUAAUACAUGCAAGUCGAGCGCACCUUCGGGUGAGCGGCGGACGGGUGAGUAACGCGUGGGAAUGUGCCCUUUGGUACGGAACAACUGAGGGAAACUUCAGCUAAUACCGUAUGUGCCCUUCGGGGGAAAGGAUUUAUCGCCAUUGGAGCAGCCCGCGUUGGAUUAGGUAGUUGGUGAGGUAAAGGCUCACCAAGCCUACGAUCCAUAGCUGGUCGAGAGGAUGAUCAGCCACACUGGGACUGAGACACGGCCCAGACUCCUACGGGAGGCAGCAGUAGGGAAUCUUGCGCAAUGGGCGAAAGCCUGACGCAGCCAUGCCGCGUG